rnacentral:rRNA from 1 species
UACGGAGGGGGCUAGCGUUGUUCGGAAUUACUGGGCGUAUAGCGCACGUAGGCGGCUUUGUAAGUUAGAGGUGAAAGCCCGGGGCUCAACUCCGGAAUUGCCUUUAAGACUGCAUCGCUAGAAUUGUGGAGAGGUAAGUGGAAUUCCGAGUGUAGAGGUGAAAUUCGUAGAUAUUCGGAAGAACACCAGUGGCGAAGGCGACUGACUGGACAAGUAUUGACGCUGAGGUGCGAAAGCGUGGGGAGCAAACAGG